rnacentral:lncRNA from 1 species
UCAGGGGCCCUGUUUCCUGUUUCUCAGCCAGGAACUUUUGGAGUCACCCCAGUUCUCCCUGAGACAGUUUCGAAUCUGCUCUGGCAGUUCCCCCUCCCCCGCUCCCUCUGCUGCGCUUACAGAUCAAUCAUUCCUGUGAUGCCGUACCAGCCGCCUUUCUGAAAUGCAGGUGAAUGAUGGCUGCUGACAGUCUCGCUAGACAGGCCCCAGCUCCGAUUCCUCCGGGGCUGGAACUUGCGCUCACUUCCCAGAAGCCCUGCCAACUCUCCCACAGCCUUCGAUAUGCUGCUUGCCUCCGUACCUGCGCCGGCUUGGCAGCUGAAUUCACAGGUCACCUCCAAGACUAAAGAGACCCCAAUUUACAUCCAAAGCUAAAAACAAAAAGCCACAAACAAAAC